UGCGUAGGUGGCUGGGAAAGUUUGAUGUGAAAUCCCCGGGCUCAACCCGGGAACUGCAUUGAAAACUAUCUAGCUAGAGGAUCGGAGGGGAGACUGGAAUUCUUGGUGUAGCAGUGAAAUGCGUAGAUAUCAAGAGGAACACCAGUGGCGAAGGCGAGUCUCUGGACGAUACCUGACACUGAGGCACGAAAGCUAGGGGAGCAAACA
rnacentral:rRNA from 1 species